rnacentral:rRNA from 1 species
UGCGGUGAGCCAGUGAGCUAACUGAUACUAAUUGCCCGUGAGGCUUAACCAUACAACACCCAAGGGGUUU